GAAGACGUGGCUUUCGAUGCUGACAAUGUUUUGGAUGAAAUCAACUAUCAUAUUCUCUCCAAACAAUUCAAGCCCACUGAGCCUGAGGAGGAAAAGGUACCAUCAUGCUUCUCACGCCUCUCAUGCUGCAAGAAUCUUUCACGUUCCCGAAAUAUGGCACUUAAAAUCAAAGAAAUCAAUGAGAAUUUGGAGUCCAUUAACAAAGAGGCCACCGAUCUUGGCCUUGUAGGGAGGCUUGCCGAUGAGCCUGCUUUGGAUAUUGCUACUUUGGAAACUAAUUCAUUCACUCAUGAUCCAAUUUUUAUUGGAAGAGAUGAUGUUGUGUCGGAAACAGUUGAUAUGCUUACAAAUAGCAUCACAACUGAUGAAAAAUCAGUUUCCAUACUUGCCAUUGUCGGGAUGGGGGGAUUGGGGAAGACGACAUUGACGAGAAAAGUCUUCAAUCGUCUAAAGAAUGAGACUCGGUUUGGAUCACAUAUUUGGGUUCAUGUUUCCUCAAAUUUUGAUGCAUUAACUCUUUUCAAAAAAAUUCUCAAAGAGUUGACUCGUGAUCAAGUCGAAGGUGAGAGUCAGCAAGGAAUUCUUUCAAAGCUUGAAGAAGCUUUGAAAGAUAAAACUUAUCUUCUUAUUCUCGAUGAUGUAUGGAAUGAAGAUCUUUCCGAAUGGGAUGAUUUUAUCAAUUCCUUGUUGGGAGUUAGUUGUGUAAAGGGAAAUGCCGUUGUUGUUACCACCAGAAAAAUGGAGGUGGCUUCAAUUGUGAAUCCACUUCAUACACAUGAGUUGAAAGGCUUAUCAGCGGAAGAUUGUUGGUCGAUAAUCAAAGUUAAAACCUUUGGAGAAGGAAACGUUCCGUCAGACUUUGAGGCUAUUGGGAAAAACAUUGCAAGAAGAUGUCAAGGUUUGCCAUUAGCUGCCAACGUAGCUGGGGGAGUGCUGCGCAAUAAACCUGAGGAAAAAUGGCGUUCAAUCGAGGAGAAAUGGCUUUCACCCGAUGAAGGAGGAGAUAAUAUCACAAAAAUAUUGAGAUUGAGCUUUGAUAAUUUAUCUCUGCCAUCACUUAAGAAGUGCUUUGCAUACUGUGCAAUGUUUCCUAAAGGCUCCCAAAUCAUGAAACAAGAAUUGAUUGAGAUGUGGAUGGCAGAAGGUUUUCUUCAAGCUGAUGAAAGGGAUGACAUGGAGUCCGUGGGCGAAAAAUUUAUCAACGUUCUUCUGCACAACUCUUUACUGCAAGUUUCAGAAAGAGAUGAUGACGGAAAUGUAGAAAGUUGUGGCAUGCAUGAUCUUGUGCACGAUCUCGCUUGUUCUGUUUCAAGUUCCUCUAACUGUGGUAACAGUCGAGAUCGAUACAUGACUCACAAUUGUGGAGACAAAUCAAGUCCUAUCCCAAAAGAAAUGGCAAAAUCUUUGCGUACAUUAUUAAUUUCAAUCUAUGGUGAUAGUUCUGAUAUCAACUUCUCAGACUUGGAAAGUCUUCAUGUUUUACGUCUUCAAGGUCAUGGAGUUAAGGAGCUGCCAAGUUCGAUUCAAAAGUUGAUACAUUUGAGAGAUUUUGACAUUUCAAAGACAGAAAUUGAAGUUUUUCCGGAUUGGAUUGGUGAAUUCUUUCACUUGCAGACGUUGAGAGUAGACUCAUAUAGGUUGAGAAUUGGGAGAAAACUGCCAAGCACGAUUAAGUACUUGAUUAACUUGAGGCAUCUUUAUAUUGACUCGAGGGUAGAGUUGCCUAUGGGAAUUGGGAGUUUAACUUCUCUCCAAACGCUAAAGUACUUUCCAGUGGGUGACGAGAAUGGCUGCAAAAUUGAAGAGCUCGGAAAUUUGAAUAAUCUUAAAGGAGAGUUACUGAUUCUGCAUCUGGAAAGGGUUCAUGACAAGGAAGAGGCUGGGAAAGCCAAUUUAUUCAAAAAGUCAAAAAUAUUGAACUUGUGUUUGAACUGGGAAACAUAUGGCAGAAGAGAAGGUGAAAUAAAUGAUGAGGAUGUAUUGGAAGGCCUUCAACCUCACUCACAUCUGAGGGAGUUAGAGAUCCGGGGAUUCAAUGGAAAAAGAUUUCCAUCAUGGACUCAGAAGAUGGCAGUUCGAGAUGUGCCUGGAGGCUCUUGGGUGGUGCUUAACAAGUUAACGUCGUUAACACUCUGGGACUGCAGAGAAUGUGAAGAGAUCCCAAUGUUGUGGCACUUGCCCAAUCUCAAGUCUCUUAAGUUGGAUGGAUUAAAAUUUGAAGUGUAUAAAUUCUUCAUUCUACGGACCGGUGAACAAGGACACACGCGUUGCUUUUCCAUCUCUUGAAAGGCUCAUCUUGUCUCGAAUGCCUAAGCUGGCAGAGUGGGCAGAAAUAGAAAUUUCGGAUGGAAGUGAAGUGAAGCUAUUUCCUCGCCUCCAACAUUUGAAAUUAAGCAUUGCAGCAAUUGAAGUGUUCCAAGUUUGGGGCAGUUGCCCAAUCUCAAGUCCCUUAGUUGGGAUUGAGCAAUUUGGAGUGUAUAAAUUCUUCAUUCUACGGAAUGGUGAACAACGACACACGCAUUGUUUUUCCAGCUCUCGAAAAGCUCAGAUUGGAACACAUGCCUAAGCUGGCAGAGUGGGCAGAAAUAGAAGUUUCGGGUGGAAGUGAAGUGAAGCUAUUUCCUCGCCUCCAACAUUUGGAAAUUGACGAUUGCGAGCAAUUGAUGAGUGUUCCAAGUCAUGUCUCGUCAUGCCUUCAACAUUUGAAAAUUGAUAGAAUUGGUGUGGAAUGUCUCCCAGCUGAUUGGUUAUUCAGUAACAACCAGACUCUCUCUUAAUUGUAUAUAAGGCAGUGCCCCAAUUUGAGAGAAUUAGGGGAUAGAGAUAGCGGCGGAGAACAAUCACAAGGAAGCUUCACAUCCCUUCGCGAAAUCUGGAUUAGUGGAUGCAAAGCAUUGGAGUAUUUGCCAUGUGAAUUUCUAGGAUUCUCUCUUGAGGAGCUGUCACUGAAGGAUCUAAGCAGCCUGAAGAAUCUACCAAGGGUAAUUGACUGCCUCCCAAAUUUGCCUCGUCUGACACAUUUGACAGUCGAAGGUGUUCCUAAUUUUAUGACCACUUGUCGUCUUGAGAUUUCGCCUUUUCCCAGCUUGAGAGAGAUGAGUAUCGAUGCUAGUACGGGGGAUUCAAGCUCGACGGAGACUGUGGAUGCCAUAUUGCAAGGAUGCAGCUGCCACUCACUCAAUGAGUUAGAUUUGAAGGGGAUGGAAAGUUGGGAAUGGCUGCCGGAAUCAAUUCAACAUCUUACAUCUCUUUCUAAGUUAUGCUUAGAGGAUUUUGGAAUGGAAGAGUUGCCUGAAUGGUUAGGGAAUCUCUCAUCUCUACAGUCAUUGAAUUUAGAUAACUGCAAAAGGCUAAGGUGUUUACCAUCUAUGGAUGCAAUGCGGCGCCUCACCACAUUAAAAGUAUUAGUUAUUAAGCGUUGCCCAGAAUUAGUGAUUCAAAGUGAGGCAGCUGAUUCUGAAUGGCCCAAGGUUUCCCAUAUCCCACGCAUCCAAAUUGAUGGCUCAUACAUUAUCUGUGACGGUAAGUAUCAAUAUCUUCUUUUUAUUUGAAAUACAGUUGCAUGCAUAUUUAUUUGAAAAAAAAAAUCCAAUGAUCCAGAAAUUAAGGUAUCCUAGUAAAAUCUACUCCCUCCGUCCACUAAUUGUUGGCCUACUUGCCUUUUUGGUCCGUUCAUCAAUUUAUGUCCUAUCUAUUUUGGGUAAGUUUAUAUUCAUAUUUUAAUAAAUUGUGGCCUAAUUGCAUUGACUUUAAUAANGUGUGGGUUUCUUUCUCCACUCAGCUAAUAAAAAUACAUUUUUUUCUUAAAACUCGUGUUUUGCCUCCUAGGCCAACAAUUAGUGGACGGAGGGAAUAUUAUCUUAUUUUUUUUAUGGAGUUUCUACUUCAGUUGCUAUUAGUUUGGUGCUCCACUUCAUCUCAAUAUGCUUAAACAAUAAGGGGGCGUUUACUUUGAUAAGAUGCAUGAUUGAGUAUUUUUAUUCUAAGAGUAUGUUUUCUCCAAUCUCACGCUUUUAAUGGCAUAAGAAUCAAGGAAAACUAGCUUAAAUGAUAAAAAUAAUCAAGGGCCUUAGGUAUCUCAAAGUUUCAAUUAAUCAAAGUAAAUAUCUUACUAAUCUAUCAAGGCUAAUCCUUUAAAGUAAUGCCCCUUAAAUAGAUUAAUUAUUUUGAAUUUGUGCACUGCAUUUUUAUGGUCCAUUAAUUCUUCUUUUCUUUUUCUUUUUUGAUACAGUUGAUUAAAGUGAAACGGAUUAAAGUACUGAAUCGAAUAAACAGUCAUGUUUGAAGUGCCUCCAAAGAAUUAGGAUGUGAAGCAAGGGAUCAAUGAAGAAGGAAUGAGUGAGUCCAUGAUGACUUGCUCAACAACCUCUUUUCAUAAUUAUCUUUUGCUAAGAAUCGUCACAUUGUAAUUCCUUUUUUUAUGUAUAUUCUUUAUUUGAACUUUUGUUGAUAUGAUUGUUAUUUCGACGGUUGAUGCAUCUUUGGAUAGCCAUUUUGUUUCACAUAGAAAGCAAUCUCCAAUUCUACUCAUGUUUUUACAUUUAUAUUAUAUGUGGCAGUGGUUUUGUGAUAUGUAUUCCUAUACCUUUUGAUUGAGACAAGUAAAUUGCAAAAUAAUUUC
rnacentral:lncRNA from 1 species